GGUGGCUCAGUGGUAGAGCGCUUGGUUUGCAAUCCUGAGGCCCUGGGUUCAAUUCCUCAGCACCA
rnacentral:tRNA from 1 species